ACUCCUACGGGAGGCAGCAGUCGGGAAUAUUGGACAAUGGGGGCAACCCUGAUCCAGCAAUACCGCGUGUGUGAAGAAGGCCUGCGGGUUGUAAAGCACUUUUAGUAGGGAAGAUAAUGACGUUACCUACAGAAAAAGCACCGGCUAACUCCGUGCCAGCAGCCGCGGUAAU
rnacentral:rRNA from 1 species